rnacentral:rRNA from 1 species
AUUGAACGCUGGCGGCAUGCCUUACACAUGCAAGUCGAACGGCAGCGGGCCUUCGGGUGCCGGCGAGUGGCGAACGGGUGAGUAAUGCAUCGGAACGUGCCAUUGAGUGGGGGAUAACGUAGCGAAAGUUACGCUAAUACCGCAUAUUCUGUGAGCAGGAAAGCAGGGGACCGCAAGGCCUUGCGCUCUUUGAGCGGCCGAUGUCAGAUUAGCUAGUUGGUGAGGUAAAGGCUUACCAAGGCGACGAUCUGUAGCGGGUCUGAGAGGAUGAUCCGCCACACUGGAACUGAGACACGGUCCAGACUCCUACGGGAGGCAGCAGUGGGGAAUUUUGGACAAUGGGCGCAAGCCUGAUCCAGCCAUGCCGCGUGAGUGAAG